rnacentral:lncRNA from 1 species
CUGCUGUUCAAAAGGGCAGGCAACUAUGGACCUAUUUUCACCAUCAAGCUCGGUUUAUCUCAAGCUGUAAUCGUGAGUAAUCGCGAGCUAGCCAAAGAGUGCCUGUCAACAAAUGAUAAAGUCUUUGCCACACGCCCGAAAUCAAUUGCAUUUGAAAUCUUGGGUUACAACUAUGCUGUAUUCGGUUUCAGCCCUUAUGGCUCCUAUUGGCACCAUAUACGCAAGCUUGCCACUGUUAAAUAUAUGAUAUAUAAAAUAUUUUAAAAUUUUUGAGAGGUCACAACACAACCCUCCGCCUUCGUGCCACUGCUACUACCUCAUGAAUCCAUGGAAGAUUGCGUCGUGGGUGGUUACCAUAUCCCGAAGGGGCACAAAGCUUAUCUUUAACGCAUUCAAGAUUCAUAGAGAUCCUCACAUUUGACCAGAUCCUCACAAGUUUCAACCAGAAAGAUUUCUCACGAUACACAAGGAUAUUGACAUGAGGGGUCGGAGCUUCGAAUUUUUACCCUUUGGAAGUGGCAGAAGGGUGUGCCCUGUAGCCUCUUUCGCCCUUCAAGUAGUGGAUGGAUUUGAAAUAACAUCCCUGUCGGAUGAACCCAUUGAUUGAUAUGACUCAGAGCUCAGGAAUAACCAACCUCAAGGCCACCCCAUUCGAGGUCCUCUUGUCUCCACGCCUUACAGCCUAUCUAUACGGAUAAAUCAACCAUCAAAACUGUUUAAAUAUGAUCUCAUUCAUAUAAGAAAGGCAGUAGUUUAUACUAAUCAUUGGGUUAAAAAUAUUUCUCUUAUCUUUAAUGACUUCCUUCUUCUAAAAUGGAUUGUAAGAAUCGUUGAUAUGUAAAUGAUCGAGCAUAUGCAUCUUAUAUUAGAAAAAGUAAUGUAAGGUAUUCUCCACGAGUAAUAAGUGGCUACAUUUCCUUUCUCGAUUGACAAGUCCUAGAACAACUCCAAACCUUCCUGCCUCUUGUUAUGAGUUAUAAUGAUUUGUAAAGUAAUUUUACUUCAACUCUUUCACUGUUCUACAGGUUCUUUUGGUUGCAAUAAACUUCAAGUUGGCCUCUGUGUGAAAGGGUGCCUUAUUUCAGUUUGGGUUUCAAAGCCCAAACCAAAGAAGCACACCAACUUGGAGGUGACUUGGAUUUCUUCUUUCAAGUAAUUUCCAUUUAAGUAUUUAAGUAAUGAACCAUGUGAUUUGAACUUUAAAGAAAGAAGAUUUGAGCUUUAAUAUAUUUGAUUUGAAAGGAAUUAGGAUAAGUGAAGGCACAAUCGUGAAGCUAUUUAAAAUCCUUACGCUGCCACAAGAAUGUAUACGUCUGCAAGUACCAUAACCUCCAUUGCUCAAGUUUGGCAAUGGAUACUUCUCAUUCAUACCCAGCAAUUUCAACGAUAGCAAUAACAUUUUCCCUUCCGGUAUUCUUUCUUAUCCUUCUAUGGAUAUCAAAAACUUCCUUCAGAUGCACAAACAAAAAGAGAGCAGCACCAGAAGCUGGAAAUUCAUGGCCUGUACUUGGCCAUCUCCACCUCCUAGCAGGACGGCAACCAGCACACCUAACAUUGAGCGCCAUGGCAGACAAAUAUGGCCCAAUCUUUACCAUCAAGUUGGGUGUGCGUAGAGCUUUGGUUGUGAGCAGCUGGGAAACUGCCAAGGAAUGCCUAACCACCAACGACAAAGCCUUUGCCACUCGUCCAAAAAAUAUUUCCAUGGAGGUUUUGGGCUACAACCACGCCAUGUUUGGCUUCGCACCUUACGGACCAUACUGGCGCAACAUGCGUAAAAUUACCACUCUCGAGCUCCUCUCGAACCACCGACUGGAUAUGCUCAAACAUGUACGAGAAUCUGAGAUGAAGGUAUCCUUACAAGAGUUAUAUCAACUUUGGAAAGAGAACAAAAAUAGCUCUGAUAAGGUUUUGGUGGAGAUGGAUAAAUGGUUCCGCGAUGCAACCGCCAACGUGAUUCUCAAGAUGAUAGUAGGGAAGCGAAUUUCGAGUUUGGGGAAUGAUGCAGAGAGUGGGAGAUGGAAGAACGCGUUGAAGGAGUUCUUCGAGUUGAGUGGGAAGUUUUUGGUAGCGGAUGCAUUCCCAUUUUUGAGAUGGUUGGACAUUGGGGGAGACGAGAGGUUGAUGAAGAAGGUGAAGAAAGUACUGAACGAAGUUGCUGAGGAAUGGUUACAAGAGCACAAGCAAAAGAGAGCUUCGGGUGAGUUCAGGGACGAGGAAGAAGACUUCAUGGAUGUCAUGCUGUCAAUCCUCACCGACGCCAAGGAGUAUGAUGCUGAUACAAUAAACAAAGCUACGUGCCUGGUAUGCUCUAAUUUGAUUUGUUAAUUCAUCAAUAAUCAAUCAUAAACUUCAUUUAGAAAUAACUCCAUUCAGAUUUUACCUUUGACAAUUUAAAUUAUAUAUGUUAUCUUUCGAUUACUUUUCAGAUUCUUAUCUUAGCAGCCACUGAUCCCACAGCGGUUACAUUGACAUGGUGUUUAGCCUUAUUACUCAAUAAUCGUGAUGCGUUGAAGAAAGCACAGCAAGAAAUAGACAUCCAUAUCGGUAAAGACAAGCCAGUGGAGGAAAAUGAUAUAAAGAAUUUAGUUUACCUUCAAGCCAUAAUCAAGGAAACCUUGCGAUUACACCCUGCCGGACCACUCGCAGUGCCUCAUGAAUCCAUGGAAAACUGCACCGUUAAUGGCUACCAUAUCCCUGCAGGCACAGAACUUCUCAUCAAUCUUUACAAAAUCCAUCGCGAUUCUCGCGUAUGGUCUGAUCCUUACAAGUUUCAACCGGAAAGGUUUUUGACUACUCACAAAAAUUUUGAUGUAAGGGGUCAGAAUUUUGAGUUGAUACCAUUUAGUAGUGGAAGAAGAAUGUGCCCUGGAGUUUCCUUUGCGCUUCAGGUUGUGCAGCUUACGCUAGCCAAUUUGCUGCAUGGGUUUGACUUAGCAACGCCAUUCGAUGAACCAGUUGAUAUGCGAGAGGCAGCCGGGCUGUCAAAC